UUUUAACUUUAAAUGAAUGGGCAUCACUCGUAGCCCACGGGAGAUUUUUCUCAAGGAGAGGGGGGGGUAGGUGCCAGAACAAAAAAGCUGACACCCAAAAUUUGAUAAUGAUCCUUCCGCAGGUUCACCUACGGAAA
rnacentral:misc_RNA from 1 species